UUGCUCUUCAACGAGGAAUUCCUAGUAAGCGCGAGUCAUCAGCUCGCGUUGACUACGUCCCUGCCCUUUGUACACACCGCCCGUCGCUCCUACCGAUUGAAUGGUCCGGUGAAGUGUUCGGAUCGAGGCGACGUGGGCGGUUCGCCGCCCGCGACGUCGCGAGAAGUCCACUGAACCUUAUCAUUUAGAGGAAGGAGAAGUCGUAACAAGGUUUCCGUAGGUGAACCUGCGGAAGGAUCAUUGUCGAGACCCACUGACGAGGACGACCGUGAAUGCGUCAACGAUUGCUCGUCGGGCUCGUCCCGACAACACCCCCGAAUGUCGGUCCGCCCUCGGGCGGGACGACCGAGGGGAUGAACUACCAACCCCGGCGCGGAUAGCGCCAAGGAACACGAACAUCGAAGUCGGAGGGCCUCGCUGCAUGCAGGAGGCUACAAUUCCGACGGUGACCCCACUGGACGACUCUCGGCAACGGAUAUCUCGGCUCUCGCAUCGAUGAAGAACGUAGCGAAAUGCGAUACCUGGUGUGAAUUGCAGAAUCCCGUGAACCAUCGAGUCUUUGAACGCAAGUUGCGCCCGAGGCCAUCCGGCUAAGGGCACGCCUGCCUGGGCGUCACGCUUUCGACGCUUCGUCGUUGCCCCCUCGGGGGGNUGUGGGCGAACGUGGAGGAUGGCCCCCCGUGCCGGAAAGGUGCGGUUGGCCGAAGAGCGGGCCGUCGGUGGUUGUCGAACACGACGCGUGGUGGAUGCCUUGUGCGAGCCGUACGUCGUGCCUUCGGGACCCGGGCGAGGCCUCGAGGACCCAAGUCGUGGUGCGAGUCGAUGCCACGGACCGCGACCCCAGGUCAGGUGGGGCUACCCGCUGAGUUUAAGCAUAUCAAUAAGCGGAGGA
rnacentral:rRNA from 1 species